rnacentral:rRNA from 1 species
GAUGAGCGCUGGCGGCGUGCUUAACACAUGCAAGUCGAACGGUGAAGGCGGAGCUUGCUCUGCUGGAUCAGUGGCGAACGGGUGAGUAACACGUGAGCAAUCUGCCCCUGACUCUGGGAUAAGCGCUGGAAACGGCGUCUAAUACUGGAUACGAGCUGCGAAGGCAUCUUCAGCAGCUGGAAAGAAUUUCGGUCAGGGAUGAGCUCGCGGCCUAUCAGCUUGUUGGUGAGGUAAUGGCUCACCAAGGCGUCGACGGGUAGCCGGCCUGAGAGGGUGACCGGCCACACUGGGACUGAGACACGGCCCAGACUCCUACGGGAGGCAGCAGUGGGGAAUAUUGCACAAUGGGCGAAAGCCUGAUGCAGCAACGCCGCGUGAGGGACGACGGCCUUCGGGUUGUAAACCUCUUUUAGCAGGGAAGAAGCGAAAGUGACGGUACCUGCAGAAAAAGCGCCGGCUAACUACGUG